GAGUAAGAUAAAGCAGGUAUAAUCUAGGCAUACCUAAACCUCAGCCAUAUCCUUGAUGUAUUCAACAUUCCCUGUUAAAGACGAUGUUGGUCAGUUUCAGUGAAUAUGCCAAUAAAUAAUGGGAUGACAUUUGCUUUUCCUCAGAAUGGGAUGACAUUUGCUUUUCCUCAGAAUGGGAGCAUACCUUGAUUGCUUAAUGGAUGAGGCAUACCAUAUUUCCUAGAAAUUAGAGUGAGGUUUAGGAGAGCUAUGCCAUUUUAAUUUAUCUUAAGCAACCCAAAAUUGUAUUCGGCAGCAAAAAUAUAUUACCUAGGAAUGAAAUCAUAUGGGGAACAGGGAGAUGAAGGAAAUAAUGAAACUCUUAGAGAAUUUCUCCACCUCUCCCAAGAUUCUCUGAAAAAAAGCAAUGAAGCAUAUCAUCACAAGAUUCAUUCAGAUUUAAGGAUUGACCUUUCAGUCACUGAAUCCAAAGUGCCUCAACUUUCCUUUGUUACAUUGGGAUUGUUGGCAGUGCUCCAAAACCAGCAGACCUAAUCAAAGAUUUUGAAUCCUAGCAGAAGAGAUGACGACCAUCUGCUCUGCUCCAGAAAAAUGGAAAUCUACUUACAAAAUCAUUCCAAUUCAUCAUGGAUUUGGAUUUAUCCAUUUCUGCAACACAGAACAAACGUCUCUCUUUUUUUGUUCUUGAUCUUUCCAAAAGUCUUAGGUAGGAGAUGACCAGGGUGAGCCUGAGGGAAAGGUCAGGUGUGUCAUCAGUCUCAAGUCCCUUCAUAUUCACCAGAGAUCUAAGUCCAGCCAACCUUGAAUUCCAUUGACUCUUAUCUAUUGCCAAUUUGUUUAACUGAUAGUACUUCAGAUUCUUGUAGAAAUGUUAGCAUGUAAUAAACCUGGAUUCAUUUGAA